rnacentral:rRNA from 1 species
AGAGUUUGAUCAUGGCUCAGAACGAACGCUGGCGGCGUGCCUAACACAUGCAAGUCGAACGAGAAAUCGGGCACUCAGGCAACUGAGUGCCGGAGAGUAAAGUGGCGCACGGGUGAGUAACACGUGGGUAACCUACCCCCGAAUCUGGGAUAACCUCGCGAAAGCGUUGCUAAUACCGGAUAUUGUCCUAUUGGUUGUGACCUUUGGGAUGAAAGGCAACCUCUUCAUGAAAGUUGUCGUUCAGGGAUGGGCCCGCGUACCAUUAGCUUGUUGGUGGGGUAACGGCUCACCAAGGCUACGAUGGUUAGCUGGUCUGAGAGGAUGAUCAGCCACACUGGAACUGAAACACGGUCCAGACUCCUACGGGAGGCAGCAGUGAGGAAUUUUGCGCAAUGGGGGAAACCCUGACGCAGCAACGCCGCGUGAGUGAAGAAGGCUUUCGGGUCGUAAAGCUCUGUCAAGUGGGAAAAAAGUCUGAUGAUUAAUAGUUGUCAGAUCUGAUGGUACCACUGAAGGAAGCACCGGCUAACUCCGUGCCAGCAGCCGCGGUAAUACGGAGGGUGCAAGCGUUGUUCGGAAUUACUGGGCGUAAAGGGCGUGCAGGCGGGUUGGUAAGUCAGAUGUGAAAGCCCUGGGCUUAACCCAGGAAGUGCAUUUGAAACUGCCAUCCUAGAGUAUGG